GACGAACGCUGGCGGCGUGCUUAACACAUGCAAGUCGAACGAUGAACCCGGAGCUUGCUCCGGUGGAUUAGUGGCGAACGGGUGAGUAACACGUGAGUAACCUGCCCUUGACUCUGGGAUAACUGCGGGAAACUGUAGCUAAUACCGGAUACGACCCUCGGCGGCAUCGCCAGGGGGUGGAAAGAAUUUCGGUCAAGGAUGGACUCGCGGCCUAUCAGCUAGUUGGUGAGGUAACGGCUCACCAAGGCGACGACGGGUAGCCGGCCUGAGAGGGUGGCCGGGCACACGGGGACUGAGACACGGACCAGACUCCAACGGGAGGCAGCAGUGGGGAAUAUUGCACAAUGGGCGCAAGCCUGAUGCGGCAACGCCGGGUGAGGGAUGACGGCUUUAGGGUUGUAAACUGCUUUUAGUAGGGAAGAAGCGAAAGUGACGGUACCUGCAGAAAAAGCACCGGCUAACUACGUGCCAGCAGCCGCCGUAA
rnacentral:rRNA from 1 species